GAUGAACGCUGGCGGCGUGCCUAAUACAUGCAAGUCGAGCGAACCGAUGAGGAGCUUGCUCCACUGACGUUAGCGGCGGACGGGUGAGUAACACGUGGAUAACCUACCUAUAAGACUGGGAUGACUUCGGGAAAUCGGAGCUAAUACCGGAUAAGAUAUUGAAUGGCAUGGUUCAAUAGUGAAAGACGGUUUUGCUGUCACUUAUAGAUUUAUCCGCGCCGCGUUAGCUAGUUGGUAAGGUAACUGCUUACCAAGGCAACGAUGCGUAGCCGACCUGAGAGGGUGAUCGGCCACACUGGAACUGAGACACGGUCCAGACUCCUACGGGGGGCAGCAGUAGGGAAUCUUCCGCCAUGGGCGAAAGCCUGACGGAGAAACGCCGCGUGAGUGAUGAAGGUCUUCGGAUCGUAAAACUCUGUUAUUCGGGAAGAACAAAUGUGUAAGUAACUAUGAACGUCUUGACGGUACCUAAUCAGAAAGCCACGGCUAACUACGUG
rnacentral:rRNA from 1 species